GCCCUCUUCAGCAAUCCCUUUGCUUCCCUUCCAUAUUGCUGCCUUUCUGCACAUUUUGGUCACAUGUUGAGCCUACCUGUUAUGCCUCAGAGAUGUUCCUCCUGCUUCUGGUCCCUAAGCAGGAGAAGGGCCGUGGCCCUUGCACAGAGCACAGGGCAGGAAUGCACAUUUCCCAGUCCCAUGAUACAGUCCGCAGCAUGAUGUGAUGCUGCUGCGACUUCCUCCAUUGCAAGCUCAAUCACAAGCCUCGUCUCAUAGCACAGGACAGCAUUGUUAAAAAGGCCAAGGUUUUAAAGCUCCGCUGCUCACGCUGCUCCUGCCCGGCGUAGCCAGCUGUGAUGAUGGAUGUAUCUCUCCAUCCUCGGCAGGAAUUGUACAACAUCUCAUGACUGUGAUGCCUGAUCAAUUAGUACAUCUCCUUCCAUCAAGCAGACUAUUUUGACGAGCCUGAAGCCGGCUUCCUGAGGUGUGGGCUGCAACCUGCCUGUGUCUUUCGCAGCACAUGCACCAUCUCCCUGCUGAAGAGGAUGGAAGCUGCUUCUGGAAAAGCUUUCUCCUUCUAGGUCAUCUAAUUUGAACCUUUCUACUAAAUAGGCUGCUUGACAUUUUUUGAUAUAAAGGUCAACAUCCUCUGAUAGACUCCAGGAUUUUAAGGUCUGUUCCUGGCAGUACAGUCUGAUACCUCUCCCUUUAAACCCACGUUUCUUGGACAUGAAGAGAUGCUUUUGCUCUGACGAUUGAAAUACACCAGUGAAGUGGAAAAGCCUGGAAUUCAGCUGACAGCGCU